rnacentral:lncRNA from 1 species
AAGGCGGGUCGAAGAGAUACAAUAAUUGGAGACAGGGUGGAGGACGUUCGUCCGCUCCAGCCCAGAGAGUAAAUAGGACGUACACGGCACUCAAUGCAGACAGGGCUGUUAUCUUGGAUCAGAUCAAAAAUCAACCUAUCUUCGAGCCACCUCGAGAUAACAUUAAGUCCGGAAAAGGGAAUCCUCGCAAAUAUUGUGAUUACCAUCAAGCUUCGGGUCAUGAAACGAACGAUUGUGCCAGUUUAAAAGAUUUCAUUGAAAGAAAGGUACAAGGUGGGGCUUUAGUUCAGUAUGUGGCUGCCAGAACUAAUCAACAGCAGGACCGAGGACCUGUCCCGACAGCUCAACCA